rnacentral:lncRNA from 1 species
UCGAGAACAUCGUGGCCAACUCGCUGCUGCUGAAAGCGCGUCAAGAGGAUAUGGCAAAAAAAGUGGUCGUAGUAAAAAAUGGAAGGAGAUACUGACACUGCCUCCUGUCAGCCAGUGCAGUGAGCUUAGACAUUCCAUUGAAAGGAUUAUAGCAGUCUUUGUGACAAGCAACCGAUAGGAAGACGUCUCUUCAGGCAGUUCUGUGAUACCAAACCCACUCUAAAGAGGCACAUUGAAUUC